rnacentral:rRNA from 1 species
GAUGAACGCUGACAGAAUGCUUAACACAUGCAAGUCUACUUGAACUUCGGUUUGGGUGGCGGACGGGUGAGUAACGCGUAAAGAACUUGCCUCACAGUUAGGGACAACAUUUGGAAACGAAUGCUAAUACCUGAUAUUAUGAUUUUAGGGCAUCCUAGGAUUAUGAAAGCUAUAUGUGCUGUGAGAGAGCUUUGCGUCCCAUUAGCUAGUUGGAGGGGUAACGGCUCACCAAGGCGAUGAUGGGUAGCCGGCCUGAGAGGGGGAACGGCCACAAGGGGGCAGAGAAACACCGCCUAAACACAAGGGGGGGAUCAGUGGGGAAAAUUGUGGAAAGGGCGGCAAAAGUCUGAAGCAACAAUUCGUGGGGGAAGAGGGCUUUUUGGGGAAAAAAAGGUGUUUUCUGUGGGGAAGAAAAAAUGACGGUAACAAACAAAAAAGGAACGGCUAAAUACGUG